AAUUACAUGAGUUUGAUCCUGGCUCAGGACGAACGCUGGCGGCGUGCCUAAUACAUGCAAGUCGAGCGGCUGAUGGGAGCUUGCUCCCUGAUGUUAGCGGCGGACGGGUGAGUAACACGUGGGUAACCUGCCUGUAAGACUGGGAUAACUCCGGGAAACCGGGGCUAAUACCGGAUGGUUGUUUGAACCGCAUGGUUCAAACAUAAAAGGUGGCUUCGGCUACCACUUACAGAUGGACCCGCUGGCGCAUUAGCUAGUUGGUGAGGUAACGGCCGACCAAGGCAACGAUGCGUAGCCGACCUAGAGAGGGUGAUCGGCCACACUGGGACUGAGACACGGCCCAGACUCCUACGGGAGGCAGCAGUUAGGUAAUCUUCCGCAAUGGACGAAAGUCUGACGGAGCAACGCCGCGUGAGUGAUGAAGGUUUUCGGAUCGUAAAGCUCUGUUGUCAGGGAAGAACAAGUACCGUUCGAAUAGGGCGGUACCUUGACGGUACCUAACCAGAAAGCCACGGCUAACUACGUGCCAGCAGCCGCGGAAAUACGUAGGUGGCAAGCGUUAUCCGGAAUUAUUGGGCGUAAAAGGGCUCGCAGGCGGUUUCUCAAGUCUGAUGUGAAAAGCCCCCGGCUCAACCGGGGAGGGUCAUUGGAAACAUGGGGAACUUAAGUUGCAGAAGAGGAGAGUGGAAUUCCACGUGUAGCGGUGAAAUGCGUAGAGAUGUGGAGGAACACCAGUGGCGAAGGCGACUAGCUGGUCUGUAACUGACGCUGAGGAGCGAAAGCGUGGGGAGGCGAACAGGAUUAGAUACCCUGGUAGUCGCACGCGCCAAAACGAUGAGUGCUAAGUGUUAGGGGGUUUCCGCCCCUUAGUGCUGCAGUAACGCAUUAAGCACUCCGCCUGGGGAGUACGGUCGCAAGACUGACACUCAAAGAAGGCG
rnacentral:rRNA from 1 species